AAAAACCUCUUUAACGAUUUUUUUUUAAUAAUUUUUUGACAACACAUACGUGACAAUUUGUGAUUGGUCCGUUUCAAAUAUUAGACGCGUAUUUCUAGAGAUCAAGUUGGUGGGGUAUUACGAAGUCAACUUUUGAAGGUGCGUUUAUAAUAGGUUCUGAUUUGUGUUUUGUAGCUUUUGUCGUGGUCCCCCCAUUAGUUUUGAUUUUUGUAUGGUGUCCCCCAAUAUGUGGGCAUUUGCUUUGCUUCUGUUGCGGCACUGUGGUUGUGGUCCCCUC
rnacentral:lncRNA from 1 species